CCAAAGGCUCUUUUCAGAGCCACCCACCUCUUUCUGAAAGACUUG
rfam:Dipodomys ordii contig_61513, whole genome shotgun sequence.